rnacentral:lncRNA from 1 species
CCGGAAAGACAAACUUAAUUGAUAAUGAACUAGCAAAGCCGACAAGGCCUCAAUUAAAAUCUUUUAUACAAUAAUCUGACAAGGCAAUAAAUAGAAGCUAAGAAGGCCCAACAUAGAGGGUCCACAAGUCUCUAUGAAUACUACAAACUCAAAUAGGUGGGACGAGGUCUUGAAAGUAUCAAUAACUAUAUACCAAACUCAAGUAUGCAAAACCUUAAGACGACCAACA